AUUUUAAGUACUUUUUAAAUAUACAUUUCUAAUGAUGAAGACUUUUUAAAACACCACCAUCCUACCUGUUACACAUAACCGUAUUAACAAUGAUCCCUUAAUAUUUUCUGCUGAGUGACUUAUCUUUCUAAAUCAGCUCAACAGCGUUUAGUAAGAUGGGUGUGAGGACCCUGGGAGAGAUAUAAAGAUAAGGAAGACGAAAUCCUUGCUCCCUCGGGUGGGGAGAUAGGGACCAAAAUAGAAGGCAACUAUUUUCUUAACAAAAGGAACUUUUCAUUUACCAAAAGAUUCACCUUGGGACUCUUUUACAACACCUGCCUCUAGCUUGUGUUCAUGACUUACAGAAAACGGACUCGUCUCACUUCAUCCUUCAAGCCUCAGCCCAAACGUGUCUCCCAGAGUUGGGGCUCCUCCUGGACUCCCAGCGCACAGGGCAUAGACCUCCUUACACAGCUUGGGUUUCAAGUAUGUAAGCACAGACCCCACCUGCUCCCAAGCUGCCUGACCUGAGGUUCCAGACCUGCUCGCCUGGUUCUAGGCAGGGCUCUGGGCCGCUCACAGGCCAGGUGAGCAGAGCCAGGAACGAGAGGCCAGGCAGGACGGGGAGGGGGAGGGACAUGAGCAGGAUACCUGUGCACCAGCUCCUCAGUCUAGGGGAGCACUGUGGGAAGGCUGAGGAGUGUGUAGUGGCCCGAAGGACAACUGCACCCCCCAACUCUAUUUGGUGAAUGAAAUAAAGCUUAAGUUAGAAGGGACAAUUACUCUAUGUAUAGACAAUUGAAUAGUAUCCCCCCAAAAGAUAUGUCCAAGUCCUCACCCCAGGUACCCGGGAACGUAGCCUUAUUUGCAAACAAGGUCUUUGCAGACACGAUUGGUUUGAGGAUCUCAGAAUCAGAUCAUCAUGGAUUUAGAGGGGGCCCUAAAUCCAGGGAAGGGUGUCUUUACAAAAGAAAGAAGAGAGAGAUUUGCCACACAGACCCAGAUGGAAAGGCCAUGCAAAAAUGGAGGCAGAAAACGGGAGUGACAAAUCCACAAGCCGGGGAUCACCAAAGAUUGCCCACAGCCUCCAGAAGCCAGGAGAGAGGUGUGGGAGGGCUCCUCCCUCACAGCGUCCCGAGGGAACCGACCUCGCCUGCAGCCUGGUUUCUGAGCCCUGGCCUCCAGACUGAGAGAGUAGAGACCUGUUCUUUUAAGCCAGCAAGUCUGUGGUAAUUUGUUACAGCAGGAAACUGACCUCGUGUGUGUGUGUGUUUGUACAUAUAUGAGUAUGUCUAUAUUUUUUGAAUUCCCACUCAAUAAUAUAUCUCUCGGUUUAUAUAUUUCUUGGAGAGCAUAGAUAGUGAAUUAAUACUGCUAUUUUCUCAUGUUUUUCAAAACUAAGCCACUCUUGAGUGCGGGUGCACCUGCCUCACACCCCGCCUCCAUCUCAGCCUGGAGGAGAGCAGCCCCCUCUGGGGCACCUGUUCCCCCGGGAAUCACAGCCAGAAGGAAGCACAGAGCACAGAGAACUACCCACCUCAACGCGACCGGUUCAAUGAGCUCAAGCACCCUAGGUGACAGCAAGCAGCACAGAGCUGCAGUGCAGCUGCCUGCCUUUCGGAGACUGAUCCGCGGUGUCCACGGCAAGUUCAGGGGCCACGACUUAAUUACUCAACCUUAUGGAGCAUUAGAAGGCUUCGGCACGUGGUGGUGAGUUAUCUCAGCUGAGGCUCCUCCUCCGUCUACCAGAUCUUCCCCACGGCUGCCAGGCUAUCUUUCCAAAACCCAGAUAGUAUGGAGCUCCUCCUGCUCUCGAAUCCUUCGGGGCUCCCACACCAACCUCCUGCUGUGGCUACAGAACCCUUCACGUUUGGGCCCCAACCUUACUUCCUGCCACGCCCCCCACCCACUCUACACAGAACUCAUUGGCUCGGACGUGCAGGCCUCUGAGCCUUUGCACACACAGAUCCCUCCACCUGGAAUAAUACCCUUUCCACCUUCUCUGCCUGGUGAACCCCUCCGACCCAGCAUAAAAUGCCGACUGCUCUAGGAACACGUCCUAAAGAACUGAAAGCAGGGACUUGAGCAGAUAUUUGUGCACACGUGUUCAGAGCAGCGUCGUUCACAAUAGCCAAACGGUGGAAACCACCCAAGUGUCCAUCAACAGACGGAUGGAUAAACGAAAUGUGGGCUAUCCAUACAGUGGACUAUUACUCAUCCAGACUAAAGAUUGAGAUUUCGAUGCUACAACAUAGAGGGACCUCAAAAACAUUAUGCUUAAUGAAGUAAGCCAGACACAGAAGGGCAAAAUAUUAUAUGAUUCUACUUAUAAGAGGUAGCUAGAAUAGGCAAAUUCAUAGAGGCCCAAAGUAGGACAGAGGUUUCCGGGGCUGGGAGGGGGCGUUACAGGGACUUAGUGUUCACUGGGCAGAGUUUCUGUCGGGGAGGAUGAAAAGUUUUGUGUAUAGAAAGUAUAGAUACAACAGCAUUGUAAAUGCAUUUAGUUUCACUGAACUAUACACUUACGAAUGGUUAAAAUGGUAAAUAUUAUGCUAUGUAUGCUUUACCAUAAUUUUUUUAAAACUCUAAAAAAGACAUGCCAGUGGCUCUGAGGCAUCUCCUUUAACUUCCCGGAGAUGAUCGGUUCUUCCCUUCUCUGUUGUCCAUUCGGAAUCUUUCCGUGGUACUCGCUUGCUGAAUUGUACUUUAAAUGUCCGUUCACACGUCCAUCCCCUGGCAGACAGGGAGAACCCAGAGGGCAGGGGCUCAUCUUUGUCAUCUCAGGCUUUCCCCCAGCACAGUGUCUGGCACAGAAUAGCUGUCAGGAAAUGUUUAUUGGAUGGAAAACAUAAGAACUCUGUGCUGUGGACUGAACUGCAUGCCCCCCAAAUCCGUAUGUUGAGGCUCUGACCGCCACUGUGCCUGUUUUUGGAGAUGAGGCCUUUCCAGAAGGAAUUAACGUUAAAUAAGGUCCUAAGGGUGGGGCCCUGAUCUGAGAGUGUCAGUGUCCUUAUAAAAGAGGAAGAGAUGCCAGAGAGCGAGCUCUCGCCACUCUGUGGGGACACAGUGACAACGUGGCUGGAAGAGUCCUCAUCAGGAUCUGAAUUUUCCAGCACCUUGAUCUUGGACAUUCCAGCCUCCAGAACUGUGAGAAAUAGAUGUUGUUUCAACCCCCCAGUCAUUGGUAUUUUGUCAUUGCAGCCCAAGCUGACUCAUGCACACGGCAUACAGACAGGAAUGGACGUAAUGCUCACAGACACAGGACCAUCAAGCCAUUUGGUGACCCGUAAUAUCAGUGUGGCAGGUGGUGUGAGCAACUGGCUCUGGGAAUUGAAGAAGGGCAAAGAGUUUCUAGGGGGCUUCUUGAUCUCUCAAGGAUUCAGCUGUUCUAGAAUCUCGUGGUGUGAGAAGUUCUUUCUGAGGUCUAACCUAAGUCCACCCCCCUCAUCCUCCUCGGUCCUCCCACACUGCAACGUGAGCCUCUCCAGAAAGAGUCCAUGAAAAGGUGGAAGACCCCGUUGUGGAAACCCAAACGUAAAUCUGCCCCAAACCAGGCCUGAAGCGUGGGUCUCCCUCCCCAGGAUUCUUUGCGCACUCAACCAUCGUCCUCUCCGAAGUCAAGUCUGCGUUCUGCAGGUCGGGGUUGGCAAAGACCAGGAAUCGUAUCCGCUUCCUCCCUCCGCCCCCCCCUCCACCUCUGACCCCCGACCUGAACCAGGACCACCAUGUCCCCUUCAAAUUCCAUGCUGAAAGUGCUUGUGGGACGGAUAGCUCCGUAACUACAACUUAGGUUGUAAAAAUGGUAAAUACAUGCCUAAGGGGCCAACCCCAAACUGCUAGAUGUUGCUUGAACUGCGGCCGGCCACAAUAGGAUUUAGAAAUUGGAACGGAAUGUUUUCCACUCUGCAGGGUGCAAACGCUCUCAUCCCACGGCCUAUCUUGACAACAUGAUGGUUGCUCUUCUCAACCCAGCCUAGAUAAUUGCGUAAUUAAUUGCGUGCAGGUAACUCAUCCAGAGAAGGUGGUUAUUAGGAGCGGGGAGCCCGACGCCCACUCCCUGGACGAUUACCAGGCUCGCCUCUGUGCCAGAUCCCGGCACGGAGGGGCUGCCAGCCGGUGUGCUCGGGGUCUUCUGCGCUCACCUCUGAUCACAGGAGCAGCUAGACCAGAGAGCCUCGCCCCCUCGCUAUUGCCUGUUUGCUCUGCUGGUUCAAGUCCGAGGCUGUUCCUUGGAACCGAGGCCCUGCCAGGGUGGUUGAAGUGAAGAUGUCUUCUUGUCUCGAGGCUUGAAAGGAUCAGGGGUUUCCCUUGGGGCUUUGGCCAGUCCCCCUUUGGGUUUCCUGAGACGCUUCUGGAAAGCCGGCCUCCACUUCCUUCCCCACCCACUCCCCCACUGCAGUCCACGUAGCUGGGCUUCGGUUUGGGAAGAUGAAAAGAGAUCUGGAGAUGGCUGGUGUGGAUGGUUGCACACAAUGUGAAUGUUCUUAAUGCCGUUGAAUUAUAUACUUAAACACGGUGAAAAGGGUAAAUUUUGUGUUGUGUACAUUUUGCCCCAAUAAAAAAUUGAUUAAUAAAAAAAUAAAUCGUGUGAAAAUGAACACCAUAAAAACUUUGUCUCAUAGAAAAAGCCCUAGGCCACUUUCUCCUAUUUUUUUCUCAGUAGAGGGAUAAUGGAGUAACUUCCACAUUUUGGCUUCUCUGCCCUCCUGCCAGAGUCAAUUGUUCCAGACCGUUCUGAGGAGGCAUCUGCAGCCUAAACGCUGACUCACUACCAGCCACAGCUCACACGAUCCUGUUGUAAUUUGAUGAGAAGUCAAACCCCUGUGCCCAGAGCAGGUGGGCAUUGCUAAGCAGCAGGACGCAGGCACUGGCUGGAGCCCCACCGGCCACCCCCUCCCGCGGCCGGUGGCCAGCCCCGGGCCUCAAGGAAAGGAACACCAUGAGUGUUGUCUUGCAGCAGCAGCAGUGAUGGCCACCGCCAUUUUAUUUCAUCUCUGGCCUCGAGGUAUGCACACUGCUGCCCUGCUCUUAGUCAUGUCACAGCAUCCACAAUUCUGCUUGUCAACCAAUUGGGAGUGGGAGGUAGCGUCACUGUACGGGGCACUGAGGAAAGAGGAAGACGCGGUCUCUCCAGCAGAGGAGGAAGACAGGAGGGGCGAGGUAUGCCUGGUGCUUUAACGGUGGCUGGUGACACACAGGGUCCAGAGAAAGGCUUCGUCAGGCCAGGACCCCACGGGCACUCGCUGUCGUCCUCAGGGUCCUUGAGCCAGUUUUAUUAAAGGUGGACAGAGGCCGGCCUGCCCUGUUGGCUGGUGCCCUCAGAGGCCUGGCAGUGCUGGCCUGACUCAGUGGGUCUAUGGGCUGCCUCCUGAGCCAGAGUUGACUGUGGCCAGCCAGAAGCAGGACAGGGCCACGAUUUCCUUGGCAACUGACCCUAACGACAGCCAAAGUGCACUGGUGAAGAGCUCAGACUGUGGAGCCAGAUGGCCUGGAUUUGAGUCCUGGCUCCGCCACUGACAAGCUGUGUGAUGUGGACAUGUUGCUAAACCUCUCUGAGACUGACAUGGGAACCAUGAUGCUACUCAGGAAAGCUCCUAGCAUGGUACCCGGUACCUAGUCCCCGGCUCCCAUCUUCUUCCCCAUCAGCAUCCAGUAGAAACUACAGUCUUGUUGGUUUUGGUAACAAGACUCCAGACACCCUCCUGUGCACUCAGCUCGUCCCUGCACCUCCCUCCAUCCAUGGAGAGGCAGCUUCUCAGGGACAACGAUCACUGUCAGAAUUGGCCAGUGUCCUGCAGAGCCAGAGGGGCUAAUUCCUAAGGCCUUGACUUGGGUGUUCUGCCCAUGUAGUCUCUGCUGGAUGACAAGGCGUGACCCAAAAGACAGGCAGAGAUGAUAACGAUGCCAACAAAGUACUAAAUACGGAGAGGAAGCGCUCUCGGUCCACAGGCCCAGAAGGCCGUGCUGCAGUGGGGAAAUCUAGUUGUGUGUAUAAUUCCCAGCACACAGUCAGCCUGCAGCAAAUACCAGUUCUCCUUCUUAGCCCCUUCUUUUCUUCUGGAAGACGAAUGACCCACUUUCUAUGCAUAAGAACUGGCAAGCACAAGGCAAGGCAAGGCCGAGGCCCAGCAGAACCAGCAGGGAAAAACCAUGGUCCCCUUGGGAUUGAGCCCCUUUGUUCCUUACAUGGACAGCCUCAUGUGCCAGCGACAACCAAAGGAGCCAGGGGACUGCAACACAAGUGACCAGACGCCCUGCUGCUGAGGCCCGUUCUAGGCUACGGCCAAGUAGGGUCAUAGCCGCAGCCAUACCCUGAGCGGUGAGGCGAGAAGUCUCAGACCUCAUCAGAACCCGGGAGGGAGGUGGGGAGAAACUGGAUAUCCAAUUGCUUCACCAACUGUCUCGUGACAGCCUCCUUGGUGAAGAGGGGGAGAGUGAGAAAUGGUCUUGUGGCAGCUCCUCACGAGCCUUCCGCGCUCUCAUGGUCCAGGAGGACCACAAGACCAACACUGAGACUAGCUGUGUUUCAAGACUUCUUGCCCUGUGACCUACGCUGGGCACAUUCAGGGGCCAGAACAGAGCUGUUGUCCUACAAGAAUAUCAGCAGGAUUGCUAAUAAAAUACUCCAUCAGACCCAUAGGAGAAGUUUGUUUCAACCACAAUAAUUUCUUAAAAAGGUGAUUUCUACACUUGGGUCUUAGUUCGUUGCUGUUUUUGUAAGUGAGCUUUAACAUACACAUAGUGAAGUGCGUAAAUCUUAAGUGUACAGCUUAAAGAAUAUUUACAUUUAUAUGCACACACAUAAUCUCCACCCCGAUACAGAACAUUUCCAGUAUCCAGAAAGUUCCCCAUGGCUCUUCCCUGUCAGUGCCCAGCCCCCUAGAGGCAACCACUAUUCUGACUCCUGUCACAAUUUUGCUUUUUCUCAAACUUCAUAUAAAUAGAAUUAUGUAGAAUGUACUCUUCUAUAUCAGCCUUCUUUUAUUCCAUAUGAUGUCUGUGAGAUUCAUCCAUAUCACUGGGUGUAUGCCGAAGUUCAUUACUUUUAAUUGGUGUGUGUUAUUCCACUGUAUGAAUAAACUACAAUUUAUUUAUCACAGAGCUGCCAUGUGCUUCCUUGUCCGUGUCUUUGGUGGACACACCCGUUUAUGCUGGGUGUAUAUUUAGGAG
rnacentral:lncRNA from 1 species